GCCAGGCACAGUGGCACACGCCUGUAAUCCCAGCGGCUCAGGAGGCUGAGACAGGAGGAUCGCGAGUUCAAAGCUAGCUUCAGCAAAAGCUAGGCGCUAAGCAAUUCAGUGAGACCCUGUCUCUA
rnacentral:sRNA from 1 species